rnacentral:rRNA from 1 species
UCCAGACUCCUACGGGAGGCAGCAGUGGGGAAUAUUGCACAAUGGGGGAAACCCUGAUGCAGCGACGCCGCGUGAGUGAAGAAGUAUUUCGGUAUGUAAAGCUCUAUCAGCAGGGAAGAAAAUGACGGUACCUGACUAAGAAGCCCCGGCUAACUACGUGCCAGCAGCCGCGGUAAUACGUAGGGGGCAAGCGUUAUCCGGAUUUACUGGGUGUAAAGGGAGCGUAGACGGCAUGGCAAGUCAGAUGUGAAAGCCCGGGGCUCAACCCCGGGACUGCAUUUGAAACUGUCAGGCUGGAGUGCAGGAGAGGUAAGUGGAAUUCCUAGUGUAGCGGUGAAAUGCGUAGAUAUCAGGAGGAACACCGGCGGCGAAGGCGGCCUGCUGGACCGUGACUGACGUUGAGGCUCGAGAGCGUGGGGAGCAAACAGGAUUAGAUACCCGGGUA